GACAGCGUGGCCGAGCGGUUAAGGCGCUGGUUUUAGGCACCAGUCCGAAAGGGCGUGGGUUCGAGUCCCACCGCUGUCA
rnacentral:tRNA from 1 species